ACAAUAAAUUACUUUAUACUUGUCUGCAUGUGCAUAUAAGUAUACACAUAUAUUGUAUGUAUAUCUUUUUAGGGUUAGAGCAUACUGUAUUGUUAAGCUAAAUCGGUGGCAUCGGGUUAACAUCACCGCGAGUUGUACUUCUUGCAAUACCAGUUUUCCAAGUAGUUGUUUAUUGUAGUUUAAGUUUUUGGGUUUGUAAUUUGAUUUGCUCCUGACGCGUGUUUCUUUACAUGUCCCACCACUGCUUUGGAUUCCAUUAGAUAGAGGGACAGAGAGAUGCAUAGGCAUGUGAGAUAUGCCUCACGGCUGACGGUGGUGGUUGUUGUGAAGCUAGCGGCGGCGACGGGUUUGCCUUACAUGUUUUCAGUAUAAUAUUGCUGGCGAUUCAGUCUAGAAACUGGUUACGUACUGGGUUGCGACUACGAAAAUAAGAAAAGAUGAUUCCGGUCGGAGACUGUGCUACGAAGGGAUCUAAAAAGGGCCUGAGGGUAUGCAUAAAAGAAGACGAUAAUUUCAAUGGUUCGUUACAAUUUCAUUGAUUUCAGGGAAGGUUACUUUUAGGAUCCACCAUUGGAGUGGUUAUAGCUGGAAGGGCUUAUGCCAACACCGUUGAUGAAGCGACUUUCGAGUACUUAAUUUGAUGAUUUUUUGUAAUGAGUUGAUUGUUAGAUAAUAUGACAUGAUUUGGUCUAUUUUUUUAAAAAUGAUAGAUUUUG
rnacentral:lncRNA from 1 species